rnacentral:snRNA from 1 species
AUUUAUUAACAACUGAUGCAACU